rnacentral:misc_RNA from 1 species
UUUAUAUUUACCAGAAAAAAUCCUGUUUUUCCAAAAAUGCAAUUUCCACACAAAAUACACACUCUAAUUAUUUUAAAAUGAUUUUUUACUAGGAUGAACUCAUCUCUUCUAAAUUUUACUAGACUUUUGCUUACCUUAUUUUAUCUACGCAUUUUGUCAAAUAUAAGUUUUAUUCCAAAUCUUUUUUACAAUUCAAAUUUAAAAAAAAAAAAAAUCCAAAUUUUUUUUCAAAACAUGCAUACUAAUCACAUCAGAUCUUAAAAAAUUGUUCACUACCACAAGUAUAGAGUACUUAUUUUUCUUGUUGUAAAUUAAUUGUUAUUAUAAAUCAAGGAUUUUGUAGAAUUUUUAAAAAUUUUGGUCUGAUGAUUCUCUUGGGUUUCAUUGGCUAGUCUGUCAUUGUAAAAACUCAAAAUGUUACACAGGUGCUCUUCAUUAACCGCAGGGUACUUAUCGCACCUGUAUAACAAAAUUAUUUAUGUUAACAAAACAGUUAUGCUACAAAAUGUCUUUUUUAUACUAAAAGGGAGAAAAAAAUAAAUAUUAACAUUUG